rnacentral:rRNA from 1 species
CCUACGUGAGGCUGCAGUGGGGAAUAUUGGACAAUGGGCGAAAGCCUGAUCCAGCCAUGCCGCGUGUGUGAAGAAGGCCUUCGGGUUGUAAAGCACUUUCAGUGGGGAAGAAAGCCUUGGGGCUAAUACCCUCGAGGAAGGACAUCACCCACAGAAGAAGCACCGGCUAACUCCGUGCCAGCAGCCGCGGUAAUACGGAGGGUGCGAGCGUUAAUCGGAAUUACUGGGCGUAAAGCGCGCGUAGGCGGUCUGAUAAGCCGGUUGUGAAAGCCCCGGGCUCAACCUGGGAACGGCAUCCGGAACUGUCAGGCUAGAGUGCAGGAGAGGAAGGUAGAAUUCCCGGUGUAGCGGUGAAAUGCGUAGAGAUCGGGAGGAAUACCAGUGGCGAAGGCGGCCUUCUGGACUGACACUGACGCUGAGGUGCGAAAGCGUGGGUAGCAAACAGGAUUAGAUACCCGGGUAGUC